rnacentral:rRNA from 1 species
GUGACGCUUGCACCCUCCGUAUUACCGCGGCUGCUGGCACGGAGUUAGCCGGUGCUUAUUCAUAUGGUACCGUCAUUAUCUUCCCAUAUAAAAGGAGUUUACACACCGAAAUGCGUCAUCCUCCACGCGGCGUUGCUGCAUCAGAGUUUCCUCCAUUGUGCAAUAUUCCCCACUGCUGCCUCCCGUAGGAGUCUGGACCGUGUCUCAGUUCCAGUGUGGCUGAUCAUCCUCUCAGACCAGCUAGGCGUCAUUGGCUUGGUGGGCUCUUACCCCACCAACUACCUGAUACCAUAUAGUCUCAUCCUUUAGCGAAAAAACGUUUCCCAAUCUACAUCAAGUAGAAAGGAGUAUGGGGUAUUAGCAGUCGUUUCCAACUGUUAUCCCCCUCUAAAGGGCAGAUUAACUAUACAUUACUCACCCGUCCGCCACUUAGCUGACAUACUAGCAAGCUAGUACCGUUCUCGUUCGACUUGCAUGUGUUAAGCACGCCGCCAGCGUUCACUCUGAGCCAGGAUCAAACUCUCCAUUAAAAAUGAAAUGGUUUGAACCAUUGUCAAAGAAUCACUUAAUUUAUUUCUAAAUAAGUUAAUCUUUAUCCAAUUUUCUAAAAAUUGGUAAAAUUAAAACUCAAAGGAAUAGACGGGGACCCGCACAAGUGGUGGAGCAUGUGGUUUAAUUCGAAGAUACGCGAAGAACCUUACCUAGCCUUGACAUAUAUUAGAACACCCUAGAGAUAGAGUGGUGCCUUCGGGAGCUUUUAUACAGGUGCUGCACGGCUGUCGUCAGCUCGUGUCGUGAGAUGUUGGGUUAAGUCCCGCAACGAGCGCAACCCUCGUCACUAGUUACUAACGGUUCGGCCGAGGACUCUAGUGAGACUGCCUUCGUAAGGAGGAGGAAGGUGAGGACGACGUCAAGUCAUCAUGGCCCUUACGGCUAGGGCAACACACGUGCUACAAUGGCCAGGACAGUGAGACGCGAUGCCGCGAGGUGGAGCAAAUCUAUAAACCUGGUCUCAGUUCGGAUUGUAGUCUGCAACUCGACUACAUGAAGCUGGAAUCACUAGUAAUCGUAGAUCAGCUAUGCUACGGUGAAUACGUUCCCGGGUCUUGUACUCACCGCCCGUCACACCAUGGGAGUUGAUUUCACCCGAAGCGGGGAAGCUAAACUGGCUACCCUCCACGGUGGAAUCAGCGACUGGGGUGAAGUCG